UACAGAGGGUGCAACCGUUGUUCGGAAUUACUGGGCGUAAAGCGCGUGUAGGCGGCUAAGUAAGUCGGGCGUGAAAUCCCACGGCUCAACCGUGGAAGUGCACUCGAAACUGCAUAGCUAGAGUCCUGGAGAGGAAGGUGGAAUGCUUGGUGUAGAGGUGAAAUUCGUAGAUAUCAAGCGGAACACCGGUGGCGAAGGCGGCCUUCUGGACAGUGACUGACGCUGAGACGCGAAAGCGUGGGGAGCAAACAGG
rnacentral:rRNA from 1 species